rnacentral:rRNA from 1 species
GUGAGGAAUAUUGGUCAAUGGGCGGGAGCCUGAACCAGCCAAGUCGCGUGAAGGAAGAAGGAUCUAUGGUUCGUAAACUUCUUUUGCAGGGGAAUAAAGUGCAGGACGUGUCCUGUUUUGUAUGUACCCUGAGAAUAAGGAUCGGCUAACUCCGUGCCAGCAGCCGCGGUAAUACGGAGGAUCCGAGCGUUAUCCGGAUUUAUUGGGUUUAAAGGGUGCGUAGGUGGUUUGAUAAGUCAGCGGUGAAAGUUUGCAGCUUAACUGUAAAAAUGCCGUUGAAACUGUCGGUCUUGAGUGCAAAUGAGGUAGGCGGAAUGUGUUGUGUAGCGGUGAAAUGCUUAGAUAUAACACAGAACUCCGAUUGCGAAGGCAGCUUACUAAGCUACAACUGACACUGAAGCACGAAAGCGUGGGGAUCAAACAGGAUUAGAAACCCCUGUAGUCC